AUAGGACUUGAUUUUCUUCUUUUUUCUCUUUCUUCUCACCCAUAUUAAGUGAAAUAUGCUUAUUUAGGGUUAUGGGAAUUUUAAGGAAGCAUUGCGGGUGUCCCGGAAGCCCAUUUUUUAACAUAACGGGGGAGGUGGUUGCCACCUAACUCGCCCAGGUGAGCUAGGUUGCUUCCACCUUAAGCAAGAAAUUGGCCAGAAACCUCUAGAAGGGCCCAGAUUCGAAAAUUACUAUUGGCACC
rnacentral:lncRNA from 1 species